rnacentral:lncRNA from 1 species
CAUCGACUGUUCUUCCUCUCAUCUACGCAGCAUCCGAUUAUCCUUACAGCCAGUGGUGAAUCCUCCGUCUUAUAAGGCUCAGCACCAUCAUAACCCAGCCCACACCUCGUGGCAGAGGAAUCCUCACUGAGCCACCAGCCUCUAACCUCUCCAUGCCAUCGUAUGACAUCAUAUGACACCUGUGUCAAGCCUCAGAAACUCUUUCAAGGAGCCCUGGCUAGGCAGUUAAGAAGCAUAUUUGACCCAGGGAUCGAAUUCCCACCCUCUGCGCAUCUUCUGCAUUGCAAGCGGAUUCUUCCCACCAGGGAAGCCCAUUGAGUCUCCACAGCUGCUGCUGCUGCUAAGUCGAUUCAGUCGUGUCCGACUCUGUGCGACCCCAAAGAUGGCAGCCCACCAGGCUCCCCCAUCCCUGGGAUUCUCCAG